CCUACGGGUGGCAGCAGUGAGGAAUAUUGGUCAAUGGGCGCGAGCCUGAACCAGCCAAGUCGCGUGAAGGAUGACGGCCCUACGGGUUGUAAACUUCUUUUAUAAAGGAAUAAAGUGCGGCACGUGUGCCUUUUUGUAUGUACUUUAUGAAUAAGGAUCGGCUAACUCCGUGCCAGCAGCCGCGGUAAUACGGAGGUUCCGAGCGUUAUCCGGAUUUAUUGGGUUUAACGGGAGCGUAGAUGGGUUGUUAAGUCAGUUGUGAAAGUUUGCGGCUCAACCGUAAAACUGCAAUUGAUACUGGCAGGCUUGAGUGCAGUUGAGGUAGGCGGAAUUCGUGGUGUAGCGGUGAAAUGCUUAGAUAUCACGAAGAACUCCGAUUGCGAAGGCAGCUUACUAAACUGCAACUGACAUUGAUGCUCGAAAGUGUGGGUAUCAAACAGGAUUAGAUACCCUGGUAGUC
rnacentral:rRNA from 1 species